AUCAGUUUUUCAUUGGCUUCCAAGGCAUCAGCUAUAUCCAGCAAAAUUUUUCUCCUAUCUUGUGAAGACAAUGCCUGAAGCCGUCUGGAACUCUCCCUUGCGGCAACUGCCAUCUCACGUGCACCAAAGUCUUUAACUGGGGCCCAUGAAUGUGCAUCUUGAUGAAAGAGGGUGCCAACACACUCUCCUCGAAGGACUCUAAUUAUGUUCUCAGGAGCAUACCCACUGGUUAUAACAACAGGGACACCAGCAUAAGCUGCAUUGACAGCAGCUUUUACUUUGGCUGUCAUGCCCCCUCUUCCAACCCUAGACUUGUCACCAAAAGUAAUUUCUCCCUGAUGUAUUUCCUUAAUGUAUGUAUGAAUCAGCUUGGAGCGUGGGUCACUAGGAGGGCCACUAUAAAGACCCUCCACAUCACUCAACAGGAUGAGAAGAUCAGC
rnacentral:misc_RNA from 1 species